rnacentral:lncRNA from 1 species
CGCGUGCGGGAGAGCGAAGGCUGCAGCGCGCCCGGCAGCCGGGAUGCAGCGGCGCCGCCCAAGCCUGGGGCGCAGGGGUCGGGGCACACGGGGAUAGGCCCGACGCGGGGCCGAAGGAAGGGUGGUCUUUCCCGCAGAGUUGCCGCUGGAGGACCGAAAGUUUUGCAGGCAGCCCUUGCUUCCAGCUUGUCACUCUCUCCCCGCGUCCCUGUCGCCCAACGCGAGGCGCCCCGGUUGGGGUCCCGACGGCUUGGUGGGGAGGAGCCGUGAGGGGUUGCGCCCCCCACCCCCACCCGAGCCAGGGAAGGGACCCUGGUGACCUCGCCUCCCAGCCCUCACCCCCGUCACCCCUUUCUUCUCUUUCCCGGAGGACUUUGGACCAUGGAGAUUCUGCAGUUGUUGCUCUGGGAGCUGAAACCAGUGGGUAGAUGUCGUUCUGAAACGCAGAGAGCUGUGAUCACUUGAGGGUGUCAUGUCAACCUUGUCUCAUGCACCAGCUGAAUUCAGUGACACUAACAUCCUGGAUCCUGCAGAUGAGAGUAUUAUGACUGCACUACCAGGGAGGCUGCCCAGGGCUGGAGAUUGCUCUGCUCCAGAGGUGCUUGGUUUGCAGUGUGGGCGGACUCAACCUGAGCGAAAGCCACACAGAAGCGCCUUGAGCUGGAGCCCCAUGCUAGUGUUGGUUACACCAGUGGUUCUUUUUUUUUUUUUUUUGAGAUGGAGUUUCUCUCUUUUUGCCCAGGCUGGCGUGCAAUGGUGUGAUCUCG